UAAUGUCGUAAGGGGGAGAGUUGGUUAAUGGUUAUAUUACUAUAGAAAACUGAUUUAAUUUAAUGUUACAGUUGAUGGGCUAUGACAAAUAGCUUAGAUGAUACUGCAAUCUAACUUAGAUAUCCAAAUAAGAAAAUGUAUGUUUGAGUUUUCUGGGUGGAAAAGUAUGACAGCAGAAACCCAGAACCCAUAAGUCCCCAGAAAAGUUAUCGAGGUAACCUGCUCUUACAUCUCAACACAACAGCAUUUGACAAAGCAAAAUAAAAUGUAAAAUCAAUUUAAAUUCAAAAAUUUAACAAAGAAUGCAUUUUCAUUAAAACAUAGUAAAACACUUUGUUGCAUAAAUACAUUAAAUUUAAACUAAAACACUUAAUACAAUCGUGAGAUGUACGUAGAAUCCAGCUCAAUGUUACAACAUAAACCCUUGAUGAUAUAGUUUAGUAAAUAUUAGAAACUAACCGCACAUCCGGUGAUUUCCAUUUCAAAUGACAAAAACCAGAAGAUCUUAAUAAGGUCUAAUGAUAAUAUACUUCUAUCUCAAGUUAUUAAUUAACAACCCCAGGAACAAUGACGACGAUGUAUAAAGUCUAUACGAAUGUCGACAGAAUAGAGAUGAACAGGAAGAAACUGAGAGAAUAUCAGCUCCAAUUAAUUUAUGAGAAUUCAAGAAUACGGAUUACAGAAACGAGCUUCAUGGCAUUGAUAAGUGAUGAAUACCCUGAAAAAAGACACAUAACUCCAUCACUACCCUUACUCAGUAGGAACAAACCUUUCAACUGCAAAGAUGUGAAUCCUUUGUUGACCAUGUUAUGAGCUGUGAGCAGUAAGUACAAAAAGCGGAGGAUUACUCUAUUCGUCGAAAUCUUUCAAAAAACUGCUCAAUCAACAUCCAAAAAAUUUUAACAAUAUUAAGUUAUUAGGCUCAUAUUAAUACUUCUCUAUGGCGGC